UACGAAGGGGGCUAGCGUUGCUCGGAAUCACUGGGCGUAAAGCGCGCGUAGGCGGAUCGUUAAGUCGGGGGUGAAAUCCUGGAGCUCAACUCCGGAACUGCCUUUGAUACUGGGGAUCUUGAGUCCGGAAGAGGUGAGUGGAACUCCGAGUGUAGAGGUGAAAUUCGUAGAUAUUCGGAAGAACACCAGUGGCGAAGGCGGCUCACUGGUCCGGUACUGACGCUGAGGUGCGAAAGCGUGGGGAGCAAACAGG
rnacentral:rRNA from 1 species